rnacentral:tRNA from 1 species
UUUCAGGUAAACUAACUAAGUUGUUGGACUCAUAAUCCAGAAAUGAGAAGAUUCUCUCUGAAAGC